rnacentral:lncRNA from 1 species
CAUGCCUUCCUGGGGUGAGGACGCUGCCAGGCUCCCAGCUCUGGAGUCACCGCCCCGUGCUAGGGGCAAGAACAGGUACCUGGGUUUCUGUACUAAUAUUGCACCCUGAAUUUUGAGAAAUAUUUAUAAGCACCUACUAACUUCAUGAGGAAAAUACCUUUGUCCAAGUGAUCAACUGUUAAAUUUAUAUCCCUCUACCUAUCAAUGAUAUAUUAAUCUGUUUUUUAAAAAAAGGCAGAAAAAGACAAAAAAUGGAAAAGUAAAAUGGGCAAGAGAUUUCUUACUUUUUCCUUCGCACUUUCUGGUAUUUCCCAGUUUUUCUAAAACUAGCAUAUACUAUUUUAAAAUUAUAGGUCAAUAAUAAUACAUGAAUGUGCUUUCCUUGUAAGAAAUUAAGACAUUCCAGAUAAGGCUAAAAAGUCCCUGUUGACCUCUAAUCCUGGAUUCCUCCCUCAUACCUAGAGAAAAUGUCUGUUAAAUAUUGGUAUGCUUUUUUUUUUCUAGAUCUUUUUCAAUGCAGAGUUAUUUGUGGUUUAUAUCUAUGGCAUCAUGUGUGUCUUGUCCUAAAACUUUUUAAAGCUCAAUAUUGUAUCUUUCACUAUUUUUUAUCUUGGUAUGUGCAAAACUACUUUAUCAGCUUAUUCUUUUUACCUGCUUCAGAGUUUUCCAUGAGAAUGGACAUUCCACAGUUUAUACAGCCUUUCCUCUAUGAUGGCCAUUAGGCAUCUUUCCUUUUUUUUUUUGGCAAUUAGUAGUCUUCUUUCAUUGAGAAGAAUUGGUAUGUCAUUUAAAAAUUUAAUUCUAGCUUCCUAAACUAAAAAAACUCCAGAAAGCUCAUGCCUCAUUCUAAUCUCAGAAAGCACUGUCUAGGCUUGGAGAUCUCCCCAGCUGUCUAAGUAGAAAGCAGAAUGAGGACUUCAGUGAGCCUAAUCCCUGCUCUGUGUUCCCCAUCCUUCCCCGACCCCUAGCCCCCAAGGACUGGGAUCAAUAUUGGAAACCUGUGCUUUAGUUCUUCCACCUCUGCUGCUGCUAUGCUGUGUGACCUCAGUGAUACAUGUGAGUGACCACCCAGACGGUGCCUGAGGAAGUGGUCCUUUCCUUGCGGCCCCCAUCAAUAGUCUGCCUCUGGAUUCUGAACAGGGGAAGCUGAAUUGAUGGUCUCUGAGUCACAGUUCCUCAUGAAAAGAGGUGCUUAACAGGAGACACUCGGGGACUGAGGCUUCAGGGACCCACCCCCCCCCGCCACCCCGCCCCACCUCCACUGUUCUGGUGCCCCUGAGGCCUUCAGAAGUUGUUCCUAUUUAUCCCUACGACUUCUGAGGGCUACGUUGCUAUAGCAACCUGGGUCUGCUGAUCUGUGUAAAAAACUUAUCAAUUAGCUGUCUGGAGAGUCCAUUUAAGGGGUAACAGAGAAGCAAUUACUCCUUAUAGAGGAAGCGCAAACAGUCCCCAUUUCAGAGCCUCUCAGGGAGAGUCUGAGAAUGGCAGGUCCAAGUCACUCAUUUUAGGGACGGGGGCACUGAGGGAUGAAAUGAACUGGUUCAUCCCAAGUCACAAAGACAAUUAGAGGCAAGGCAUCCUUUCUGGCUCUGAUUCAGAAGCUCCAUUAUCUCUCUACCUUUGUUCCAGGCUUCUCCUUUCCCCUCCCGUCUAUUCUCCAAGCACCUAUUGCCUCCAAGAUGGGCUCUAGACUGUAAGAGCCUUGUCCUUCACUCUCCCAGUAGCCCCCAGGCCUUUGAAAACAGCCAGGCAGACCCCCUCACCUGCUGCUCACAUGGCAUCCUGUGGUGGCCCACGAAGCCCCAGUGACCUGCUGCCUGGCUGCCUCCCUCCACGGCUCUAACCUCUGUCCCCUUGGCACCAGCUCACUAUGAGGUCCUCCCUAUUCCUUAAGACCAAGCUCCAGCCUCUUCAAAAACAGCACAUCUCUCUCUGACACAGCCACUCUCCCUUUAUCCUGUGUAUUCCUUCACAGCUCCCCUCCCCAUCUGCAACCACACUCUGAUUGUUACGACUUUGCUCGUUCCCCUCUCUGGAAUAAAAAUGGUAAAACUCUGUCUCUUGGACUGGGCCGACUGGGAGCACCAUGUGGAGAACAGAGACAAACUGGAGUGCCUUGGGGAGGAAGGAGGAGAGCACAGUCUCUGAGUCAGCCAUGAGGCAGAGCAAAUACAAGUGGUCAUGCAGGAAGAAGAGUGCUGGUUCUGCGGGGUCCUAAGAGGGAGAUGUACGGGGGGUGUGCUUUGUUCAAUAUGACAACACUACCAAUGGUUUAGUUCUUACUGCAUGAGCUUUACAUGUGGUGUAUCUUUCUGGCCUUGAAACUAUCCUGCAGGGUAAAACAACUGUCCCCCAUCAUAAGAAAUGAAGGUAACAGUGCAUGUUCUCCCCUCAGCCUGGGACAGCUUCACCAGGCAAAUUCCUGCUCAUUCUCCAGGCCAUCUCCCCAGAGAAGUCCUUCCUCAACCUCAAGAACACAUCGAGUUCUCUGUCUUCUGUUCCCACAGGACCCUGCAGUCACCCCUCCUAGCUCUUGCUGUAACAGUAGACACAUGAUUUCGGUGUAAAUAUGGACAGGACAGGAGGCAGGGCUGGACACUGCUACAUGCCCCAGAACAGUGCCUGUCCUAUGAUAUCCAAGGAAUAAUUAUCU